ACAUUCUGGUACCGAGCUCCAGAAUUACUCCUCGGAGCGCGACAUUAUACCAAAGCAAUUGACUUUAGUCAGAAUCCUGCCUCCUCACAGAGCUUCCUGGAGGAAGGCGUCUGUGCUGAUGCCAUCUGGGGUAAUCUUGCUUCCUCCCCAACAUCACAGCCUUGCCUCGUGUGCAGUGCUCCAAGCGAUCCAGAGCCCAGCAUACUGAACUCGCCUUCCUGCCGCUCCCCACAGCCCGCUAAUGCCUAGUCCCCGUUGGCAGGUGAAACUGGACUGUCUAAAGCUAGGCAUUCGAAUUUAUUCAAGACUUUGCUCAUAUGUCUGCGAAGCCUUUUCCAUUCUCCAGAUAGGAACGACAGGAUGCUUGCUGUCAUCCUCUGAGUUAAUCUUGAAUCCAUCCUGGGUUUUCACUUGGCAAAAACUUUAUGUUCACUAAUGUUCUUAUCUGCUUUGAGAUUACAUUUUAUUUCAUAGAAAGAAAUUAUAAGUCAGAUAUGAAAAAUCUCUUGACAGCUUUGUAUAAAUCUAAAAUUAUUACAAAAUAUUAACUUUUUAAAAAUCAGGCUCUUCUUCUCCUCUUUCUCUGUGUGUACACUCUUUCUUUCUGUUCCCUUUUCUUGCCACCCAUGAUGACCCGCCCUGACCUCAGUUCUUGGGGCCAAUAAACUUACCUGAGAGCAGCUUCCUAAUAAACCUUCCAUACUUACAUACAUACAUAAUCAUAUAUACGUACAUAUAUACAUACAUAUAUACACACAUACAUGCAUACAUAUAUAUAUACAUAUAUACUGUUUCUGAAUAUGUGCUGCUACCUAAACACAUUUGAAUAUUUUUUCAAAAAUACUCUUAAACAAAUUGAAGAUGGCUUUCUCAGUUAAUACGAUUGUUAUUUUUUAUUAUCAAAGAAUUUAAUAUUUCAGAGCAUUGUUACUUUUGGUAAGAUCUUAGCAGACUGUAUAGUUAGUGGAGUGAUUAUGAAAUUAGCCCAUGCUCUGAGCACCUGAGACUGUGUUCCUCACUGUCUACAGUCCAGCAGCUUUAAUCCUCCAUCUGACACGGGAGAGUGCAGGGUUAACUUUGUAAUUAUCUCUCUCCUUCUACCUCAUGAAUACAUAAACAGGGGGCUAGUGUAAUAACUUUAAUAUGAAGUCAAAAUCUGGUCCUUGUUCCUAAGAGUUUAAAAUCUGCAUGAGAGGACAGCAGGGACACAAGCACAGAAUGACGUGGUCAGUUUCUGCUCACUGCUGACAGGUCCCUAGUCCCCAGGAACUGUGCUCACACCUGACAGGCCCCCUGGUUCACAGGAACUGUGUGCUCACUGCUGACAGGUCCCCUAGUCCCCAGGAACUGUGUGCUCACUGCUGACAGGUCCCCUGGUCCCCAGGAACUGUGUGCUCACUGCUGACAGGUCCCCUGGUCCCCAGGAACUGUGUGCUCACUGCUGACAGGUCCCCUGGUCCCCAGGAACUGUGUGCUCACUGCUGACAGGUCCCCUAGUCUACAGGAACUGUUAACAUAGGUACCUUUCUUAGCUGUUGUUUGUAUCUGAGAGGUCAUGAACUUGACAUUUCAGUAUUUUUAAAUAAGAACAAGAUAGUGUAAGAGGAAACCUUCAGCUCUAGUUUGUACCUGGUUCUCAUUCCUGACUCUUAUGUGAGUAGUCUUUGGGACUGGUAAAGCACUCAGAUCCCCCACACCAUUUAAAGGUUCCUGCUGAGAAGUCUGUCUAGCAUUUGGACUUUGCUGUCUGGCAGCUGAUGUGUGAGCAGCCAAGCUGCCCUUGGAGUUAGAGAUCAAAGCACCUGGAGCACGUGCAUGUGUGUCCCUCCCAGUGCCAUUCAGAGGGGUCCGAGCUGGGUCAGCAGAUCGGCUUCACUGCAGAGUGCGCGAAGGAAACGGCUGGCUUUGAAAAACUGCACCGGCCCAUUCUCCACUGCAAACCCACUUCAGUGCUGUGGCCAUUUUAUCCAUUUGGACUGCACUGGAAGCUGAAUUAUUAAACCAGAGAAAGAGAAUAAUGGGCUAGUGAGCAUGUAUGUUAUCUAGGAGACAGAGUCCUGAGUGUCCUGGUUUUCAGUUAUGUUUGUUUGGUGUUGGGAGGAAGCUGAAGGAGAGGUUUGAGUUCCCAGAGAACUGUGACUAGAGCUGUCUUGAAAGUCUUCCUGAGUGUGGGAUUGAGUGCUGCUCAGCCUCCAGGGGUUCCGUGUGCAUCGAUUGGCUGGUUCUCUCCAGUGGGGAGUUUGAGGUAAAACAGGGAAAGGACAAACAGAAUCAGCACUAUGGAUUAAACAGUCUUUAACAAAUCCUCCUCCUCCCUCCCUCCCUCUGGGUGUCAGGUGACAGAUCCAUCAUCUGACAGCAACACAUGGCUGCUGCAUGUUGGAGAAGUGGGAAGGAAGCGGCAGGAAAGUAAACAGGGUAGAGCCUCCCAUGACUUUUCAAACAUGAGCAGAGAAGAGAGACGCCUUCGAGAGAAUUAGGAAGUUUUAGGGAAUAAAGACCUAACUAUCUGACUAGAAUUUGUGAUUGGUGAGGGUGAAAGGUAGAAAUUUGUUGCACACAAGAGACAGAUGGAAGUUGUAAGUUUGAAGUGACUAGGGUUGGGUCAGUCAACCACUGUUCUUUUCCUUCAAGAGUGACACCUGCCAUGCUGGCAUGGAGAAACUACUCCAUUCUUCAGGGUUUUCAGUAACUAGCUAGAUGAAUCAUUGUAGUAUCUUUUGAGUAUAUUGUAAGUUGAGUUUUUAAAAUGCAAAUGAUCCAUUACCCAUUUUUAAUCCUUAGCUUGCCUAAGUGGUUAAGAUGGUCAGAGAUUACAUUUAUAUGCAGUAGCUUUCCUGUGUACCCUCUAACACUAAAACAAAAUAGCCUAACCUGUUUCUUGAUAAAACCUAUGUGGUAGUAUUGUCUAGUGGGACAGUGCUAGUGCACACCUUUAAUCCCAGCACUUGGGAGGCAGAGGCAGGUAGAUCUCUGAAUUGAGGCUAGCAUGGUCUACAGAGUGAAUUCCAGGACAGCCAGGGCUACACAGAAAAACCCUGUUUUGAAAAACCAAAAGAAAGAACCUCUUCCCCCAAAUGAAAGGAUAUUAUUGAUCAUCUUAGUUUUCUUAGGUGAAAAAAUUAUGUGGUUAAAAAAAAUUAACCAAGUCUUCAAUUUAUGAAUCUUUAUGUAAAUACAUGAACUUGUCACUCCAAAAUGUAAAUAUGAUAAUUUACAUAUACAGUGAGAAUUUUAUGUAUGAAAAUAUUUAAAAAUCAUAAUUGUGAUAAAUAUAUUUCAGUGCUGAAGUUCAGAAAUUCUCCUAACACUUUUUUUCUCACUUCCUGCUUGAGCCAUAGUUUCUUGGACACCCGAGUAGUCGGCCUCAGCAUGAGGAUGACUUUUGUAAUCUGUCCUUGUGGGUUUGUGUAGGUCAUGCAGAAAGCACUUGAUGAGCAUCUGCUGUUGCACAGCACUGUGUAAGGGAGACAGUACCCGCUGGGUGCCAAACCUAACCUAGUGUGGGGCAUGCUCAGCUUCACGCUCUGAGUAGGCGGGUCUUGCCUCUGUUAAUAGUUCUGUUGAAUACAAACUUGGUAUGAAUGAAAGUGAACAGAUGUCUUGUGAAUGAAAGGAAUUUACUUUGCAGUUUGUCUACUGUAAAUAAUUGUUACUAAUUUAUAGCCUCUAUACCCAUUUUGAAGAUUUUUUUGUUACUUCCUGUGUUCCAUUAGCUUUGUAAAAGUGAUGACGCUGCCUUAGCAUGAAGAGAUGAAAUAGAAUACAUGUCUUUCUUGUUAGCUUUAGGACGGAAGAUAGUUAAUAGGCUUGAAAAUUAACAGGUAAAUAAACAAAAUAAAAUUAUUAUAUC
rnacentral:lncRNA from 1 species